AACGAACGCUGGCGGCAUGCCUAACACAUGCAAGUCGAACGAGACCUUCGGGUCUAGUGGCGCACGGGUGCGUAACGCGUGGGAACCUGCCCUUAGGCUCGGAAUAACUCCCCGAAAGGGGUGCUAAUACCGGAUAAUGUCUUCGGACCCAAGAUUUAUCGCCUUUGGAUGGGCCCGCGUUGGUUUAGCCAGUUGGUAGGGUAAAAGCCUACCAAGGCGACGAUCCAUAGCUGGUCUGAGAGGAUGAGCAGCCACUCUGGGACUGAGCCACGGCCCAGACUCCUACGGGAGGCAGCAGUGGGUAAUAUUGGACAAUGGGCGAAAGCCUGAUCCAGCAAUGCCGCGUGAGUGAUGAAGGCCUUAGGGUUGUAAAGCUCUUUUACCCGGGAUGAUAAUGACAGUACCGGGAGAAUAAGCUCCGGCUAACUCCGUG
rnacentral:rRNA from 1 species